rnacentral:rRNA from 1 species
ACGGAGGGGGCAAGCGGUAAGCGGAAGAAAGGGGCGUAAAGCGCUCGUAGGCGGUUUGGUCAGUCAGAUGUGAAAGCCCACGGCUCAACCGUGGAACUGCAUUUGAUACUGCCAGACUUGAGUGUCGGAGAGGGUGGCGGAAUUCCGGGUGUAGGAGUGAAAUCCGUAGAUAUCCGGAGGAACACCAGAGGCGAAGGCGGCCACCUGGACGACAACUGACGCUGAGGAGCGAAAGCGUGGGUAGCAAACAG